rnacentral:rRNA from 1 species
UACGAGGGGGGCGAGCGUUGUUCGGAAUUAUUGGGCGUAAAGAGCUCGUAGGCGGUUUGUCGCGUCUGCUGUGAAAACCCGAGGCUCAACCUCGGGCCUGCAGUGGGUACGGGCAGACUAGAGUGCGGUAGGGGAGAUUGGAAUUCCUGGUGUAGCGGUGGAAUGCGCAGAUAUCAGGAGGAACACCAAUGGCGAAGGCAGAUCUCUGGGCCGUAACUGACGCUGAGGAGCGAAAGCAUGGGGAGCGAACAGG